GCCAACGAAAAAGCCUCUGUGUUUCUCUGCUUUUUUUUUUUCCUGCCGAAGGAAAAGUUUUGCCGAUUUUUUGCAGCUGCAAAUUCGAGUUCUGUUUCGCCUGUGGAGCUGAGUGGAACAAGGAAGCCAACUGUAACUGCCCGCCCCAUGAUGAAUCCUAGUAGGGAACGGGUUUGGAGUAAGAGGACUAGUGAUGUUUUUGUGUUGCAUUAAGUACGGUUAAGGAUUUGGUUUUUGUACUUCAAAUUUUCACAAGAGUUAUUUUGUCUUUGCA